AGUGAACGCUGGCGGCAGGCCUAACACAUGCAAGUCGAGCGACCGGACAGUGAGCGUUCGCCUCUAACGUUAGCGGCUGGCGGGCGGGUAACACGUGCAUAACCUUCCAAUUAUUCGUGGAGAACUACGUAAAACCACUUCUGAUACCACAUAAUAUAUUCAACCGCAGAAUUCAGUAGUUCAAGGCAGUUUUGCUGUCACUUUUAGAUGGUGUCGCAUUAGCUAGUUGGCGAGGUAAAGGCUCACCAAGGCAACGCAACGUAGCUGAGCUGAGAGGGUGAUCAGCCACACUGGAACUGAGACACGGUCCAGACUCCUACGGGAGGCAGCAGUAGGGAAUAUUCGGCAAUGGGCGAAAGCCUGACGCAGCCACGCCGCGUGAGUGACGAAGGUCUUCGGAUCGUAAAGCUCUUUUGUUAGGGAAGAAAAACAGCGUAAUAAAACCCGGCUGUUCUGACGGUACCCAAACAGAAAGCACCGGCUAACUUCGUG
rnacentral:rRNA from 1 species